rnacentral:lncRNA from 1 species
UGUCACGAAAUGCGCCGCCGCGUCACCCUUCGGAUAGUGACUUGAACGCACGAACAGAACGGAGCUAUUUGGAUAUAACUAUGGAUUAUUUCGAACCAAAACAACAUUUGUUGUUGAAGUAGAAGUACUGGGAGUGCAUUCUGACGAAGAACAGCAAAGGUGAGAGCUUGCGGGACAAGAAGGCACAGGGAUGGAGCUUCUGGUCCAAGGGAGAACGUUGAGACAGGACUGCACCUCUCCUGUGUCGGAAGCGUCCACCUCGAGGACGAACUGGAGUUCUGGGUCUGGCUGGGUAAGGAUUGGAGCAGAAGUGAAGCGGUGCUUGAGUUCCUGCCUCUGCUUCAGGGGACCAGUGGAAUGGAGUGGAGGUGGAGAGAGGGAGAGGGAGAGAGAGAGAGAGUGUACAGGGGGAGUAACUGCAGAUCAGGAAGACACCGGAUGAACACCAGAGGGCGUAGCAGGAGCAGAUGUGACAGCCUCCAAAACAGAGGCAACCACAUAGUUAAUGUCGACAGUCAGGAUGUGGAAUACACUGAUGUCAGGAUACUGAAGAAGCAGAUGAGACAGAAGGAAAGAAAGGUGGAUUACGGACAGGUGAAGUGGAGG